rnacentral:lncRNA from 1 species
AAACUGAUUCUUCAACUCUCAAAAGCAGAAGCUAAAAAAAUCUACUUUUCAAAACAGAUUCCCGCACAAGCUGAAACCCACUUAAAUUUUUUUUAUGAAAAUACCAGAAUUACCCUUAAACAAUCAACACAAUUCUAUCAUGUCCUUUUAUAAUUAUAAUACUAUCUCUCCCGUUAUUCUUUCCCAUUACUCACAGCGACCUACUCUCAAAAAAAAAAUAAAUAAAUAACACUCCUCUCCUCUCUUCUUCAUCUAAUCACUCUCCCCUCCUCUCUUUUUUAUCUCUCUCCAUUUUUCCUCUCCAGCGACGCCUUUUCUACCAGCGAGUUUUUUCUUCAAUAAGUCUUUGACGAGUUUUUCUCCGGCG